rnacentral:rRNA from 1 species
UACGGGGGGAGCAAGCGUUGUUCGGAUUUACUGGGCGUAAAGGGCGCGUAGGCGGCCACCGCAAGUCAAUUGUGAAAUCUCCGGGCUUAACUCGGAAAGGUCAACUGAUACUGCGGGGCUAGAGUGCGGAAGGGGCAACUGGAAUUCUCGGUGUAGCGGUGAAAUGCGUAGAUAUCGAGAGGAACACCUGCGGCGAAGGCGGGUUGCUGGGCCGACACUGACGCUGAGGCGCGAAAGCUAGGGGAGCAAACGGG